AUGUUUUCCUCGCAGUCCGCCAGCCGCAUCAACAACAUCCGAACCUCCCUCAUCAAUGCGCAGAAGGGCAACCUCUCCGUCGCCUCCUACUUCGCCGCCAUGCGCGGCUACGCCGACGAACUCGCAGCCACGGGAAAGGCGAUCCCCGACGAUGAACUGGCCUCCGACAUCAUCCACGGGCUCGACGCUGACUAUCAGCCACUCGUCUCUGCCCUAGACGCCCGCGUGAGUCAGGUAACCCUUGAUGAGCUUUUUGCCAUGCUGUCAAAUUUUGAUCAACGCAUGGCACAGUUCCAAGGAUCUGGCGGC
rnacentral:rRNA from 1 species